rnacentral:rRNA from 1 species
AUUGAACGCUGGCGGCAGGCCUAACACAUGCAAGUCGAGCGAGCGGCGGACGGGUGAGUAAUGUCUGGGAAACUGCCUGAUGGAGGGGGAUAACUACCGGAAACGGUAGCUAAUACCGCAUACUAUAAGAUGUGACCAGAUGGGAUGGGCUAGUAGGUGGGGUAAUGGCUCACCUAGGCGACGAUCCCUAGCUGGUCGGAGAGGAUGACCAGCCACCUGGGACGUGGAACCCGGCCCAGACUCCUACGGGAGGCAGCAGUGGGGAAUAUUGCACAAUGGGGGCAAGCCUGAUGCAGCCAGGCCGGGGGUGUGAAACAGGCCUUCGGGUUGUAAGGCACGUUCAGCGGGGAGACGGUACCCGCAGAAGAAGCACCGGCUAACUCCGUGCCAGCAGCCGCGGUAAUAC